UACGUAGGGGGCUAGCGUUGUCCGGAAUCAUUGGGCGUAAAGAGCGUGUAGGCGGCCCGGUAAGUCCGCUGUGAAAGUCGGGGGCUCAACCCUCGAAUGCCGGUGGAUACUGUCGGGCUAGAGUGCGGAAGAGGCGAGUGGAAUUCCUGGUGUAGCGGUGAAAUGACGCAGAUAUCAGGAGGAACACCGAUUGCGAAGGCAGCUCGCUGGGACGUUACUGACGCUGAGACGCGAAAGCGUGGGGAGCAAACAGG
rnacentral:rRNA from 1 species